CGGAUAGAGGCGCGGAACUUAUCAGUAUCGGGGGCUAAAAUCGCUUGAAAGAUGCCCGAAAAAGGAAGUUUCGCCGAAAUCGCAAUAUACUUCAAGGUAAUUGCGGUUGGGCAAUGGGAAAACAUCUCAUUGACUGUCACUUUUUAGUGGAGCGCUAUCGUA
rnacentral:ncRNA from 1 species